UAGCUCUGUAGCACUCUAUUAAAGUGAUGCUGAAGUCUGGUGGUCUGCAGCUCACCCUGACCUCUGACCUCCAUGUGGACGGGGCAGUGAGAGGACUACUUUCUCUUUCAUUACUUGUAUCAUAAACACAAUAGUACCGUCUACCGGUACAACACCAACGGCUGAAUUUAGCCUCGGUUUAAAAUGUUAACGAAUACGAAAGAGUUGCAGAUAUUGAUAUAUUGUUCGCAGAUCCAAGAUCACACUCAUUGUUGCAUUAUGCUGUUUUUUUCUGUCUAAACCAAUAAAAUAGGGUCGGUUUUCUUUAUUUAGUUUGUUUUACAUUCUGACUCCUCACAAGCC